GCCGCGAUGGUGGAAUCUGGUAGACACGCUAGGUUGAGGGCCUAGUCCUAGUAAUAGGGUGGGAGUUCGAAUCUCCCUCGCGGCA
rnacentral:tRNA from 1 species